rnacentral:rRNA from 1 species
UGAGGAAUAUUGCACAAUGGGCGCAAGCCUGAUGCAGCAACGCCGCGUGAGGGACGAAGGCCUUCGGGUCGUAAACCUCUUUUCUGGGGGACGAGUAAGGACGGUACCCCAGGAAUAAGUCUCGGCUAACUACGUGCCAGCAGCCGCGGUAAAACGUAGGAGGCGAGCGUUAUCCGGAUUUACUGGGCGUAAAGCGUACGCAGGUGGCUUCGUUAGUCGGACAUGAAAGCUCCUGGCUUAACUGGGAGAGGUUGUUCGAUACUGCGGGG